AUUGAACGCUGGCGGCAGGCCUAAAACAUGCAAGUCGAGCGGAGCGGCGGAAGGGUGAGUAAUGCCUAGGAAUCAGCCUGGUAGUGGGGGAUAACGUCCGGAAACGGGCGCUAAUACCGCAUACUAGCAGAUGAGACUAGGUCGGAUGAGUUAGUUGGUGGGGUAAAGGCCUACCAAGGCGACGAUCCGUAAAUGGUCUGAGAGGAUGAACAGUCACACUGGAACUGAGACACGGUCCAGACUCCUACGUGAGGCAGCAGUGGGGAAUAUUGGACAAUGGGCGAAAGCCUGAUCCAGCCAUGCCGCGUGUGUGAAGAAGGUCUUCGGAUUGUAAAGCACUUUAAGUUGGGAGGCGUUACCAACAGAAUAAGCACCGGCUAACUUCGUGCCAGCAGCCGCGGUAAUUC
rnacentral:rRNA from 1 species